rnacentral:rRNA from 1 species
GAGUGAAGCGGCAAUAGCUCAAAUUUGAAAUCUGGGUCCGAGUUGUAAUUUGUAGAGGAUGCUUUUGGUGCGGUCCUUCCGAGUUCCCUGGAACGGGACGCCAGAGAGGGUGAGAGCCCCGUACGGUUGGACGCCACCUAUAUAUAGCUCCUUCGACGAGUCGAGUAGUUUGGGAAUGCUGCUCUAAAUGGGAGGUAAAUUUCUUCUAAAGCUAAAUACCGGCCAGAGACCGAUAGCGCACAAGUAGAGUGAUCGAAAGAUGAAAAGCACUUUGAAAAGAGGGUUAAAUAGCACGUGAAAUUGUUGAAAGGGAAGCGUUUGCGACCAGACCUUUUCCAGGGAUCAACCGGUGUUCUCACCGGUGCACUUCCUGGUUAGGCCAGCAUCGGUUCUUUGAGGGGGAUAAGGCAGGGGGAACGUAGCUCUGGGAGUGUUAUAGCCCCCUGCAUACCCCUCGGGGGACCGAGGACCGCGCUCUGCAAGGAUGCUGGCGUAAUGGUCGUCAACGACCCGUCUUGAAACACGGACCAAGGAGUCGAACAUUUGUGCGAGUGUUUGGGUGUUAAACCCUCACGCGUAAUGAAAGUGAACGGAGGUGAGAGCGGCGCAUCAUCGACCGAUCCUGAUGUCUUCGGAUGGAUUUGAGUAAGAGCAUAACUGUUCGGACCCGAAAGAUGGU